UAAUGUGUCUGAAGUCCAGUUGUCGUGCCAACUCCUGGAAUCCCGCCCUGGAGAAUUGAGGUCCUGCACGACUCGACUAUGGUCUUAAGUCCUACAGAGAGUCCUGGCCACCAAACCGAUGUUUUGGCCCUUUCUCUUCACUUUGUGAGUCUUUGAUGUCCAUCAUGUAUUUUCUGCAAAAUAUCUGCUCUUAAUGACAUUGGAAUAACAAUUCUGUUUCCUCGUGUGACCAAACCAUCAGCUUCUGAUAGUUCAUUCUUCACUUUCAGAAAGUCUCUGGCACACGGUGGGACAUUUGCAAUGUGUUGUGGCCAUCCUGACCUGAUUAGUUAGAUGACAGUUUGCAGGUGGCUGUCAGCCAUUGUUGCUGUACUGAUGCUCUCUAUUCUGGUUGGAGAUGCUGGGAUGCCCUGCAUCACUGUGGCUACGUAGCACGCCACAUCAUCCUGAGUGUCAGUCUCUCCUUUUGUGUGUGGUUGUGGGCUACAAGACAGGGCAUUGGCAACUACAAGAGUUUUUCCUGGCACAUAUUCAACUACUGGUUUGUACCUCAGGAGUUUCAUCAGUAAUCGUUGACAUCUUAAAGGAACAUUGUCCAGACUUCUAUUGUUGACUUGUUGCUGGUGCUACAGUCUGGCCCAAUGUCCGAUUUUAUAGCAGUUGUGGCAAGUAGCUUUUCUUGCCGGGCAUUUUCCUUCUCUGCCAUGCUCAGCUUUCCCGCAUUUUCCACAUUUAUUUUCAUUCCCCCAUUUUCUGUCUUUUGUCUUGCCUUGUUGUUGUUUCCAAUGGUUUUGUUGUUUGUAACGCACCUCCUGUACUGUUCCCAUCUUGUCUCCCUGCAAGUUCACCUGUGCCGCAACCUCCUCUGACUGCCUGAUGGUCUGUAUUGUCAGUGCGAGCGUUAGGUCCGCCAUUAGCUGUAGCCUGCGUGAGAGCUACUUGUCAAUUAUCCGGACUACAAUGCGGUCGCGGGUAUUUUCAUCCCGGCAGGCACCAAACUUACAGUGCUCCGAUAGAUCGUACAUGGAUGUGAUAAAACACUCUGCCUUCUACCCAGGCCGCUGUACACGCUGGUGAAAACAUGCCCUCUCUUGAAUAAUAUUCCUCCUCGGGAAAAAAUACUCAUCAAAUGUUUUCACCACGUGGUCAAAGUUGUUUCUAUGUCCGUCUUCGGCAAAGGUGAAGGAUUUAUAAAUAUGUUCUGCUUCGUUGCCCAUUGCAUAAAUCAGGCAGCUCACCAGCACUUUUCCAUCCUCAUUGUUGAGUUUCGUCGCAAGUCUAUAUCGCUCAAAGGGCUGUCUCCAGUCGAGCCAUUCUGUCGGCUUGUCAAAGGCAAAACUCGCUGGAGAAUUAAACUUCGCCAUGUCGUCUAUUUCCGUCUUAAAUUGAUCUUCGUGACUCACAGACCACUUCUGACACCAUGUGGAAUGAUUGAGGGCGAGUUCUUGGCUUCUUUAUGUGGGAUUAUUGUUGACAGUUUUAAUAAACGUGCUCCCAGCGCGGUAACAACUCACAACAACAACAGUCACGUUUUGUCUACCAUAAAGCAGUUUGCCGUAAACAUCAACCUUGUGACAUUCUUGAACAGGGCAAUACUGCCAUCUAAUGUACAUAUGUGACAGACCCCGGCAGCUUAGGAACACCGGCAAGACAUGCAACCCGCUCAGGUCCCUCUGCUGUAGGUGGAUCAAUUACGCACUGAUCCUCUCCAACUGUGGUCAAAUAUUGUAAUCCCAUUUCCCACUUUGCCUCACAAUUCACGGUUUGGGCUAAUAGCCAAUACAACUCAAGCGCGGCGUAGCUCAUGUCUGCCUCCUCGUCGUCCACAGAUAUGGGCGGUUCGUGGAUGUCACCUCGCCAGCUGCAGUGGCGUUUUACUCGCCCCCGGCAUCUGACUUUUACCCGCUGGUUGCAAGGACACAUAGCCAGGCAACCCACCGCCUAAUCCUCCCUCCUCCCUGCUGUGACUUUGGACUUGUUCUGUUUUUGUUUUGGGAUAACUGCAAUCUGUCCUUUACGGAUGGGGUACUGUCACGCUUUUCCUAUGUUUGGUGUUGUAGUUCCUGUCUGGCACUUUUACUGUAGUUUGGUUGUACAAACCCCAAAACCAGUGAAGUGUCCUCCGGACCAAGGAGAAAAAGAACCAUUGGGAUUGUUCUAGGGGCAAAGUUCAAAGGCCAGCAUCUGUGAUGGUAUGGGGGUGUAUUAGUGCACAAGGCAUGGGUAACUUACACAUCUGUGAAGGCACCAUUAAUGCUGAAAGGUACAUACAGGUUUGGGAGCAACAUAUGUUGCCAUCCAAGUAACGUUAUCAUGGACGCUCCUGCUUAUUUCAGCAAGACAAUGCCAAGCCACGUGUUACAACAGUGUGGCUUCAUAGAAAAAGAGUGCGGGUACUAGACUGGACUGCCUGUGGUCCAGACCUGUCUCCCAUUAAAAAUGUGUGGCGCAUUAAGAAGCGUAAAAUACGACAACAGAGACCCCGGACUGUUGAACAACUUAAGCUGUACAUCGAGCAAGAAUGGGAAAGAAUUCCACCUGAAAAGCUUCAACAAUUGGUCUCAUUUCCCAAAGGUUUACUGAAUGCUGUUAAAAGGAAAGGCCAUGUAACACAGUGGUAAAAAUGCCCCUGUGCCAACUUUUUUGCAAUGUGAUGCUGACAUUAAAUUCUAAGUUAAUGAUUAUUUCCCCCCAAAAAAUACAUUUCUGAGUUCGAACAUUAUCUUGUCUUUUGCAGUCUAUUCAAUUGAAUAUAAGUUGAAAAGGAUUUGCAAAUAAUUGUAUUCUGUUUUUAUUUACGACUUACACAACAUGUCAACUUCACUGGUUUUGGGUUUUGUACUUCCUUUACACUUAAAACCUCCACACACAUCUUUCAAAUUAACUAUUAGGACUAUUUAAGUUGAGCCGUGGCAUUGUACACAGAUGUAUGCUGCGGAACACUGUUUGCUUAUUUGAGGCUUCCAAGUAAGUUAGUUCCAACAUACUCCUCGGUUUUUUGUGCAUUCCCAAAUGCACUAGUGUUUGUUCGGCGUGCACCUCCCUGCACAAGUGUUUUGUUGUUUUUGUAUUGGUUUAUAUUAAAUACAUUGUAACUGCA